AAGUGACGCGUGUUUUGAAGCGGUAGCGUGUGUGUCUGUCACAUGGACCUCUGUUGGCCAAACGCAGCAGCGCACACCAUAGACAUAUAAAUAGCUAGACGCCUCAUUGGCCGCUCGACCGCACGUCAACGUCGCCGCCAUAUUGGAACGGUCAACUCUCAUAACGCUCACAUCAGGACAGAAGAAAACAUACCAUCACUCAUCGACAGAUUGGACACCUACAAACCGUCACACGAUAAUAAAACAGAUCUCGGGGUGUUAUAUUUCACAGCCAUGUGCAAACAGGACAAGGAAAGCUGAGGAAAGCUGUUCUCUGCAUUUCCAAGAGACAAGACUAUACCUCCCUAGACUAAUGUUGUGUUUGUACUAAACCCAGAGCAGCCCUGAAUGAAUCGACAGAAUGACCCAACUCAUAUUCUAAUACUAUAGACUACAUUUAAAAAGCUUUGCACAGGCUGUUUAAUGCUGAUAAUGUACUGCGUUUGUCUUUACACAAAAACUACAUGAUGUUAAUAGCCUAGAAAUGAAAAACACAGGAACUCAUAGUGAAUCCAGCUGCAAUAUCAUGAUAAACUCAUUGUGAUGUUGUUAUAAUUAUUAUUAAUUUUGAUUAAUAUCAAGUUUUUGAGGGGAGCAUCUCAUAUUCUGGUCUGUUAUAAAAAUAACUAUACUUUGACAUUUAUAUGUGUUAACAUACACGGUAUUUGUAUACACAAAUAGUAUUUUAAAAUUACAUUUCAAAUUUUUUUAUUUUACUCUUUAAUUUACUAUUAAUUUAUUCUUCAUUUUUGUCUAUUCUGAAUUUAUUCCACCCUUGAUAUUACAUAUUCUUCAUGCUAUUGUUAACCUAUUGUUGUUCAGUUAUUUAUUAUGGUAUUAUUCAUAUUAUACAAAUAAUUUUAUACUAUUAUAAAUCUAUUAUAUCGAAUAUGUUAUUGUAGCGUUGUACUCGCUUUUCAUAUUAUUCACUUUACUUUAAGUUGUACUACAUGUACUUUUUAAUAUAACAUAUCACUUUUCUACUGUGCACUGUAUCAGUUCAUAUUUUCAUUUUCACAUGUGUUAUUAUUUGUUGUGGAGUUCAUCUGUAGGCUAUAGUGUGUCACUUUUUGAUUUGUAUUUACUUGUUUUAUUAAAUUUUCUCAACAAUAGUAAAUUAUUAGUGUUUAAAGAUGUAUUACUUAGAUUUUAUCACAGAAUUUCAAAGGGAAUGAGCUGUGUUCUGAUCUGAGACACGAAAGAGAAAAAAAGAAAGAAAAAUGUUGGGAUUGAACACAGAGAAAGCAAUAAAACAAAUACAUUUAA